AUACGUAGGUGACAAGCGUUAUCCGGAUUUACUGGGCGUAAAGGGCGCGUAGGCGGUCUUGCAAGUCAGAAGUGAAAUUCAUGAGCUCAACUCGGGCGCUGCUUCUGAAACUGCAGGACUUGAGUGCUGGAGGGGAUAGCGGAAUUCCUAGUGGAGCGGUAAAAUGCGCAGAUAUUAGGAAGAACACCGGUGGCGAAGGCGGCUAUCUGGACAAUAACGGACGCUGAGGCGCGAAAGCGGGGGGAGAAAACAGGAUUAGAUACCCUGGUAUUCCACGCCGUAAACGAUGAAUACUAGGUGUAGGGGGUAUCGACUCCCUCUGUGCAGCAGUUAACACAAUAAGUAUUCUGCCUGGGGAGUACGGCCGCAAGGUUGAAACUCAAAUGAAUUGACGGGG
rnacentral:rRNA from 1 species